ACGGAAGGCAGCAGUGAGGAAUAUUGGUCAAUGGGCGGAAGCCUGAACCAGCCAAGUCGCGUGAAGGAUGAAGGUAUUAUGUAUUGUAAACUUCUUUAGUCGCAGAGAAAUAAGGAGGUCGAGACCUCUGGUGCUAGUAUGCGAAGAAUAAGGAUCGGCUAACUCCGUGCCAGCAGCCGCGGUAAUACGGAGGAUCCGAGCGUUAUCCGGAUUUAUUGGGUUUAAAGGGUGCGCAGGCGGCUUUUUAAGUCAGUGGUCAAAUCGUGGGGCUCAACCCCAUCCCGCCAUUGAUACUGGAGAGCUUGAUUGCGGUCGAGGUUGGCGGAAUUCGUCGUGUAGCGGUGAAAUGCAUAGAUAUGACGAAGAACACCGAUUGCGUAGGCAGCUGACCAGGCCGUAAAUGACGCUCAUGCACGAAAGUGCGGGGAUCGAACAGGAUUAGAUACCCUGGUA
rnacentral:rRNA from 1 species